rnacentral:rRNA from 1 species
AUGCACGCUGGCGGCGUGCCUAAUACAUGCCAGUCGCGCGAACAGACGAGGAGCUUGCUCCUCUGACGUUAGCGGCGGACGGGUGAGUAACACGUGGAUAACCUACCUAUAAGACUGGGAUAACUUCGGGAAACCGGAGCUAAUACCGGAUAAUAUAUUGAACCGCAUGGUUCAAUAGUGAAAGACGGUUUUGCUGUCACUUAUAGAUGGAUCCGCGCCGCAUUAGCUAGUUGGUAAGGUAACGGCUUACCAAGGCGACGAUGCGUAGCCGACCUGAGAGGGUGAUCGGCCACACUGGAACUGAGACACGGUCCAGACUCCUACGGGAGGCAGCAGUAGGGAAUCUUCCGCAAUGGGCGAAAGCCUGACGGAGCAACGCCGCGUGAGUGAUGAAGGUCUUCGGAUCGUAAAACUCUGUUAUUAGGGAAGAACAAAUGUGUAAGUAACCAUGCACGUCUUGACGGUACCUAAUCAGAAAGCCACGGCUAACUACGUG